rnacentral:rRNA from 1 species
UACGAAGGGGCGUAGCGUUGCUCGGAAUCACUGGGCGUAAAGCGCACGUAGGCGGAUUGUUAAGUCAGGGGUGAAAUCCUGGAGCUCAACUCCAGAACUGCCUUUGAUACUGGCGAUCUUGAGUCCGGGAGAGGUGAGUGGAACUGCGAGUGUAGAGGUGAAAUUCGUAGAUAUUCGCAAGAACACCAGUGGCGAAGGCGGCUCACUGGCCCGGUCGUGAACGCUGAGGUGCGAAAGCGUGGGGA